AAAAAAAAGUGUAGAAAAGAAGAUGUAGAAUGAGGGGGGAGAAUAUAACAUGCAAACAAAAUGCCUCCAGUAUGCGGUCCUAGAACCCUUUGGCCAACCAUAGAAGGAAGAAAAGGCAUUUGAGAAGGCUUGGAAGGAAGCAUGUUCAUCUGCUCCAUCUGUUCUGUUCUGGUGGUGCCUAAGAACAAGAGCUACCUUCUUAAACCAAUUACAUUUUCAGGCCCAUGCAAACCUUCUAUUAAAGUGAUGAUCUAUGGAACCAUCCAAGCUUCCACAAAUUGAUCGGAUUGGGACGGAUCAAACUAGCUGCACUAGCUUCUAUUCCGGAAGAUUACAAAGCUACUAGUUGAAGGUGGUGGAACCAUCGAUGGCAAUGGAGAGA